UCCCUGGUGGCUCAGAUAGUAAAGCAUCUGCCUACAACGUGGGAGACCCAGGUUCAAUCCCUGGGUUGGGAA
rfam:Ovis aries breed Texel chromosome 6, whole genome shotgun sequence.